rnacentral:rRNA from 1 species
AGUGAACGCUGGCGGCAGGCCUAACACAUGCAAGUCGAACGAGUGGCGGACGGGUGAGUAAUGUCUGGGAAACUGCCUGAUGGAUGGGGAUAACUACUGGAAACGGUAGCUAAUACCGCCUACCAUCGGAUGUGCCCAGAUGGGAUUAGCUAGUAGGUGGGGUAACGGCUCACCUAGGCGACGAUCCCUAGCUGGUCUGAGAGGAUGACAAGCCACACUGGAACUGAGACACGGUCCAGACUCUUACGGGAGGCAGCAGUGGGGAAUAUUGCACAAUGGGCGCAAGCCGGAGGCAGCCAUGCCGCGGGUAUGAAGAAGGCCUUCGGGUUGUAAAGUACUGUAAGCGGGGAGGCGUUACCCGCAGAAGAAGCACCGGAUAACUCCGUGCCAGCAGCCGCGGUAAAAA